AGUCGAGCGAGUCUGCCUUGAAGAUCGGAGUGCUUGCACUCUGUGAAACAAGAUACAGGCUAGCGGCGGACGGGUGAGUAACACGUGGGUAACCUGCCCAAGAGAUCGGGAUAACACCUGGAAACAGAUGCUAAUACCGGAUAACAACAGAUGAUGCCUAUCAACUGUUUAAAAGAUGGUUCUGCUAUCACUCUUGGAUGGACCUGCGGUGCAUUAGCUAGUUGGUAGGGUAACGGCCUACCAAGGCGAUGAUGCAUAGCCGAGUUGAGAGACUGAUCGGCCACAUUGGGACUGAGACACGGCCCAAACUCCUACGGGAGGCAACAGUAGGGAAUCUUCCACAAUGGACGCAAGUCUGAUGGAGCAACGCCGCGUGAGUGAAGAAGGGUUUCGGCUCGUAAAGCUCUGUUGUUGGUGAAGAAGGACAGGGGUAGUAACUGACCUUUGUUUGACGGUAAUCAAUUAGAAAGUCACGGCUAACUACGUGCCAGCAGCCGCGGUAAUACGUAGGUGGCAAGCGUUGUCCGGAUUUAUUGGGCGUAAAGCGAGUGCAGGCGGCUCGAUAAGUCUGAUGUGAAAGCCUUCGGCUCAACCGGAGAAUUGCAUCAGAAACUGUCGAGCUUGAGUACAGAAGAGGAGAGUGGAACUCCAUGUGUAGCGGUGAAAUGCGUAG
rnacentral:rRNA from 1 species